UACGUAGGGCGCAAGCGUUAUCCGGAAUUAUUGGGCGUAAAGAGCUCGUAGGCGGUUUGUCGCGUCUGCCGUGAAAGUCCGGGGCUCAACUCCGGAUCUGCGGUGGGUACGGGCAGACUAGAGUGAUGUAGGGGAGACUGGAAUUCCUGGUGUAGCGGUGAAAUGCGCAGAUAUCAGGAGGGACACCGAUGGCGAAGGCAGGUCUCUGGGCAUUAACUGACGCUGAGGAGCGAAAGCGUGGGGAGCAAACAGG
rnacentral:rRNA from 1 species